UUCUCAGAAAGGGACAUAUACUAAAAUUGGAAUGAGACAGAGAAGGUUAGCAUGGCCACUGCACAAGGAUGAUAGGUAUAUAUUUUCUGUUUUU
rnacentral:snRNA from 1 species